CAGCAGCCACGGUAAUACAGAGGGUGCAAGCGUUAAUCGGAAUUACUGGGCGUAAAGCGCGCGUAGGUGGUUUGUUAAGUUGGAUGUGAAAGCCCCGGGCUCAACCUGGGAAUGGCAGUGGAUACUGGCUCGCUAGAGUGUGUCAGAGGAUGGUGGAAUUCCCGGUGUAGCGGUGAAAUGCGUAGAGAUCGGGAGGAACAUCAGUGGCGAAGGCGGCCAUCUGGGACAACACUGACGCUGAGGCACGAAAGCGUGGGGAGCAAACAGGAUUAGAUACCCGCGUAGUCCCUGUCUCUUAUAC
rnacentral:rRNA from 1 species